rnacentral:rRNA from 1 species
UACGGAGGGAGCUAGCGUUAUUCGGAAUUAUUGGGCGUAAAGCGCUUGUAGGCGGCACGUCAAGUCGCGUGUGAAAUCCCCAGGCUUAACCUGGGAAGUGCGCGCGAAACUGACGAGCUUGAGUGCCGGAGAGGGUCGCGGAAUUCCCGGUGUAGAGGUGAAAUUCGUAGAUAUCGGGAGGAACACCAGUGGCGAAGGCGGCGACCUGGACGGACACUGACGCUGAGACGCGAAAGCGUGGGGAGCAAACAGG